AUGGGAGAGGAGACCCUCGUGCAGGCCAUGCCGCUCGCGCCCCACCGCCACCACCACCACGUCCACCCCGCCGCCCCGGAUCCGGCCGGCGUCGAACGUCGAGACGACCAUCCGGCGGCGCACGCUCCGCGGACCCGGACCGGGAUCGCCGCGGCAGGGGACGCGAGCGAGGAGGAGGACGUGUACUACGCGCGCAAGAUGCUGCAGGGCGUGGUGCUCCGCCCGCCGUCGCACCUCCCGCAGCCGGAGGCGCCGCCUGGGCUUACGAGGGUGGUCUCCACGCCGGCGCCGAACGGGCGCGCGGAGGUGGAGGAAGGGCAGAGGCACGUCGUCGAGCGGUCCAACUCCGCCGCGGCCGUGGUGGACGUGGCGUCCAUCGGGCGCUUCUUCCGCGACCGGCGCGACGUGCUGUCCUCGGCCAUCAACCGCCGCUUCUCGUCGCUCAAGGAGGCGCCGGCCCCGGCGCCGGGGGACGCCUGCUACGGCGUGCAGGAGAUCCACCUGCCCAACGUGAAGGUCACCGUCCGCCUCAAGGAGGCCAUCGCCGCCGACGCGGAGGAGGACGACGGCUACGGCCACUCCUUCUCGGGCAGCCACAUCAAGGGCCGGGUCAGCUUCUUCUCCCGCUCCGGCUGCCGCGACUGCGCCGCCGUGCGCGCCUUCUUCCGCCAGUCGGGCCUGCCCUACGUGGAGAUCAACCUGGACGUGUUCCCGGAGCGCGAGGCCGACCUCGCGUCCCGGGCCGGCGCCGCCGCGCGCGUGCCCCAGAUCUUCCUCAACGAGAAGCUCCUGGGCGGGCUCGUCGUGCUCAACUCCCUCCGCAACAGCGGCGAGUUCGAGCGGCGCGUGCGCGAGGUCGCCGGGAGGCGGUGCCCCGACGCGGCGCCGCGGGUGCCCGUGUACGGGUUCGACACCGACGCCGGCGAGGAGGGGGAGGAGAGGGAGGACGCCAUGGUGGGCAUCGCGAGGGUGCUCCGGCACCGGCUGCCCAUACAGGACCGGUUCGUGAGGGUGAAGCUCGUGAAGAACUGCUUCUCCGGCGCCGACAUGGUCGACGGCAUCGUGAACCACUUGGAGUGCAGCAGGAACAAGGCUGUGGAGAUCGGCAAAGAACUCGCGAGGAAGCACUUCAUCCACCACGUCUUCAGGGAGAACGACUUCGAGGAUGGCGCCCAGAGCCUGUACCGCUUCCUGGAGCACGACCCGGCCGUCCCCAGGUACUACAACUUCAGGGGCUCCACCAACGACGGCGAGCCCAAGCCCGCCGCCGCCGUCGGCCAGAGGAUGACCAAGAUCAUGGUCGCCAUACUCGAGGCCUACGCCUCCGAGGACCGCCGCCGCGUCGACUACGCCCGCGUCGCCGCCAGCGAGGAGUUCCGGAGGUACGCCAACCUGGCGCGGGACCUGCAGCGGGCGGACGUCUUCGCCCUGCCCGCCGGGGAGCGCCUCUCCUUCUUCCUCAACCUGCACAACGCCAUGGCCAUCCACGCCGUCAUCAGGACCGGCCAGCCGGCGGGCGCGGGCGCCGUCGACCGCCGCUCCUUCUUCACCGACUUCCAGUACGUCGUCGGCGGGUACCCCUACUCCCUCACGACCAUCAAGAACGGCAUCCUCCGCGGCAACCGCAGGCAGCCCUACACCAUCGUCAAGCCGUUCGGCGCCUCCGAUAAGAGGCUCGAGGUACAUGUCUGGAACACCGUAGGAAUGGGAUCGACGCAUGCUCUCCGCUCGCGCUGGGAUCUUUAUUUUACUAUGGCUGUGCAGCUGGCGGAGACGAAGGUGAACCCGCUGGUGCACUUCGCGCUGUGCAACGCGACGCGGUCGAGCCCCACCGUGCGGUUCUACUCCACGCAGGGCGUGGAGCCGGAGCUCCGGCACGCGGCCAGGGAGUUCCUCCUCGACGGCGGCGUGGAGAUCGACCUCGAGACCCGGACCGUCCACCUCACCAGGAUCAUCAAAUGGUACAGCGCCGAUUUCGGGCAGGACAGGGACAUCCUCAGGUGGAUCUUCAACUACCUGGACCCGACCAAAGCCGGGCUCCUGACGCAUCUCCUGAACGACGGCGGACCCAUCAGCAUCGCCUACCAGGACUACGACUGGUCCUUGAACGCCUGA
rnacentral:rRNA from 1 species